GGGGGUGUACUGGUUUCGACGGGGUUGUUGAGACCGGGAAAGCGGGUGGAGGAUUCUCGUUGGCCUCCUUAAAAAACGGGAAAUGCAAGUAAUUGCAAAUGAUACACAGCUCGUAGCUGCUUAAUCUAGCUACCGUCUCGUCUCCUGAUCUGCAGGGAGACAAGAGACGCAACUUGCAGACCUUACCUGUCAGAGGUUAAACAGGGAAACUUCAUUCGGAAAGCUUUGACCGGAUGUCGUAUUCAUGAAGCUACCGGACCUGCCGCCUGUCAGCGGGCUUCGCGGGAAGGGGAAUACUUCAAACACUGACUGCACCCGGAGAUGUCCCGGAGGAAAUGAUUUCGGACAGGAGUUCGAUUCUCCUCACCUCCACCA
rfam:Ruminococcaceae bacterium strain KHP2 genome assembly, contig: Ga0059115_103